UUGCCAGACUCCUACGGGAGGCAGCAGUGAGGAAUAUCGGUCAAUGGGCGCGAGCCUGAACCAGCCAAGUCGCGUGAGGGAGGACGGCCCUACGGGUUGUAAACCUCUUUUGCCGGGGAGCAACGGGCGUCACGUGUGGCGCCACUGAGAGUACCCGGAGAAAAAGCAUCGGCUAACUCCGUGCCAGCAGCCGCGGUAAUACGUAGGUGGCAAGCGUUAUCCGGAUUUACUGGGUGUAAAGGGCGUGUAGGCGGGUCUGCAAGUCAGAUGUGAAAUCCCAUGGCUCAACCAUGGAACUGCAUUUGAAACUGUAGAUCUUGAGUGAUGGAGAGGCAGGCGGAAUUCCGUGUGUAGCGGUGAAAUGCGUAGAUAUACGGAGGAACACCAGUGGCGAAGGCGGCCUGCUGGACAUUAACUGACGCUGAGGCGCGAAAGCGUGGGGAGCAAACAGGAUUAGAUACCCCGGUAUC
rnacentral:rRNA from 1 species